GGAGAAGCUGAGUGAGGUCUAUUUUUUGCCAAAUUAGAAGAUAUCAUUCAAAAUUCUUGGCAUUGAAAAGCACUUAUUUGGAUUCCAGAACUUGGUUUUUUUUCAAAUCUCGAGAAAAGUGCUGGUGAGAGAAUACUUCUUGCUAAAGAAGCAAACUCUCCAGAAUUUCAAAAUAAGAUGUCCUUCCUUUAUGAUGCUCAUGGUUUAUAUAUUAUGGGGAAUGUUCAUGCAAGCAUGAAAGAAAAGUUGUACACUGUAUAGAUGGCAUUGUUAAAUGGUUUGAUUUGUCACACCUGACUACAGAAACAAGGCUCAGCUACAUUUGAUACAUCACAG